AGAAAGACAUUCCUCCUUCAGCUGUCACGAGACCGAUAUUUGGCAUACUGGGCACGAUCCACCUGGUGGCAGGAAAUUAUCUGAUUGUCAUUACCAAAAAGAUAAAAGUAGGUGACUUUUUCAAUCAUGUAAUCUGGAAAGCAACAGAUUUUGAUAUUCUUUCUUACAAGAAGACCAUGUUGCACUUAACUGAUAUUCAGUUACAAGAUAAUAAGACCUCCU